AAGAGCUCGUAGGCGGCUUGUCGCGUCGGAUGUGAAAGCCCGGAGCUUAACUCCGGGUCUGCAUUCGAUACGGGCAGGCUAGAGUUCGGUAGGGGAGAUCGGAAUUCCUGGUGUAGCGGUGAAAUGCGCAGAUAUCAGGAGGAACACCGGUGGCGAAGGCGGAUCACUGGGCCGAUACUGACGCUGAGGAGCGAAAGCGUGGGGAGCGAACAGGAUUAGAUACCCUGGUAGUCCACGCCGUAAACGUUGGGAACUAGGUGUGGGCGACAUUCCACGUUGUCCGCGCCGCAGCUAACGCAUUAAGUUCCCCGCCUGGGGAGUACGGCCGCAAGGCUAAAACUCAAAGGAAUUGACGGGGGCCCGCACAAGCGGCGGAGCAUGUGGCUUAAUUCGACGCAACGCGAAGAACCUUACCAAGGCUUGACAUACACCGGAAACCUCUGGAGACAGGGCCCCCUUGUGGUCGGUGUACAGGUGGUGCAUGGCUGUCGUCAGCUCGUGUCGUGAGAUGUUGGGUUAAGUCCCGCAACGAGCGCAACCCUUGUUCUGUGUUGCCAGCAUGCCUUUCGGGGUGAUGGGGACUCACAGGAGACUGCCGGGGUCAACUCGGAGGAAGGUGGGGACGACGUCAAGUCAUCAUGCCCGUUAUGUCUUGGGCUGCACACGUGCUACAAUGGCCGGUACAAUGAGCUGCGAAGCCGUGAGGUGGAGCGAAUCUCA
rnacentral:rRNA from 1 species